CAGUCGCCGCGGUAAUGCGUAGGGGGCAAGCGUUAUCCGGAAUUACUGGGUGUAAAGGGAGCGUAGACGGUUAAACAAGUCUGAAGUGAAAUGCCGGGGCUCAACCCCGGAGCUGCUUUGGGAACUGCAGAACUGGAGUGUCGGAGGGGUAAGCGGAAUUCCCAGUGUAGCGGUGAAAUGCGUAGAUAUUGGGAGGAACACCGGCGGCGAAGGCGGCUUACUGGACGACAACUGACGUUGAGGCUCGAAGGCGUGGGUAGCAAACAGGAUUAGAGACCCCGGUAGUCCCUGUCUCUUAUAA
rnacentral:rRNA from 1 species